rnacentral:rRNA from 1 species
UCCGGUUGAUCCUGCCAGAGGCUACUGCUAUCAGAGUUCGAUUAAGCCAUGUUAGUCGAGGGGUGGUCAUCGGAUGCUUGCAUCUGAUGGCCAAACCGGCGGACGGCUCAGUAACACGUGGACAACCUACCCUUGGGUCCGGGAUAACCCCGGGAAACUGGGGCUAAUACCGGAUGGGACAUCGCUUGCUGGAAUGCAGGAUGUCCGAAAGCUGAGGCGCCCAAGGAUGGGUCUGCGGCCGAUUAGGUAGUUGUUGAUGUAACGGAUCAACAAGCCUACGAUCGGUACGGGUUGUGAGAGCAAUAGCCCGGAGAUGGGUUCUGAGAAAAGAACCCAGGUCCUACGGGACGCAUCAGGCGCGAAAACUUUACAAUGUGCGAAAGCACGAUAAGGGAACUCUGAGUGCCUCCUAAGGAGGCUGUUCAGGUGCCUAAAAAGCACCUGGAGUAAGGGCUGGGUAAGACCGGUGCCAGCCGCCGCGGUAACACCGGCAGCCCAGGUGGUAGCCACUUUUAUUGGGUCUAAAGCGUCCGUAGCCGGUUGAGUAAGUUCCUUGGGAAAUUU